rnacentral:rRNA from 1 species
CUACGGGGUGCAGCAGUGGGGAAUAUUGCACAAUGGGGGAAACCCUGAUGCAGCAACGCCGCGUGGAGGAUGAUGCAUUUCGGUGUGUAAACUCCUUUUAUAUAGGAAGAUAAUGACGGUACUAUAUGAAUAAGCACCGGCUAACUCCGUGCCAGCAGCCGCGGUAAUACGGAGGGUGCAAGCGUUACUCGGAAUCACUGGGCGUAAAGCGCGCGCAGGCGGCCUUUUAAGUUGGAUGUGAAAGCCUAUGGCUUAACCAUAGAACUGCAUCCAAAACUAUCAGGCUAGAGUCUGGGAGGGGAAGAUGGAAUUAGUUGUGUAGGGGUAAAAUCCGUAGAGAUAACUAGGAAUACCAAAAGCGAAGGCGAUCUUCUGGAACAGUACUGACGCUGAGGCGCGAAGGCGUGGGGAGCAAACAGGAUUAGAUACCCGAGUAGUC